CUUUACUGUAGCUUUGCAUUGGACUUUGACGGGACUUGUGUAGGAUAGGUGGGAGGCUAUGAAACCGGGACGCCAGUUCCGGCGGAGCCAUCCUUGAAAUACCACCCUGGUGUCGUCGAGGUUCUAACCCAGGCCUGUGAAUCCAGGUCGGGGACCGUGCAUGGUGGGCAGUUUGACUGGGGCGGUCUCCUCCCAAAAGGUAACGGAGGAGUACGAAGGUCACCUAGGUACGGUCGGACAUCGUACUGAUAGUGCAAUGGCAAAAGGUGGCUUGACUGCGAGACCCACACGUCGAGCAGGGGCGAAAGCAGGUCAUAGUGAUCCGGUGGUUCUGUAUGGAAGGGCCAUCGCUCAACGGAUAAAAGGUA
rnacentral:rRNA from 1 species